rnacentral:pre_miRNA from 1 species
UGGACAAAUUAUUGUAUUCGACUGUAUUCACAGCGUGAAACAUGAGAUUACACUGUUUUUAAAACGGAAAGUGAAUCAAUUAGCAUAAUAGACUCCU